rnacentral:rRNA from 1 species
GACGAACGCUGGCGGCGUGCUUAACACAUGCAAGUCGAACGGAAAGGCCCUGCUUUUGUGGGGUGCUCGAGUGGCGAACGGGUGAGUAACACGUGAGUAACCUGCCCUUGACUUUGGGAUAACUUCAGGAAACUGGGGCUAAUACCGGAUAGGAUCUCCUGCUGCAUGGUGGGGGUUGGAAAGUUUCGGCUGUUGGGGAUGGACUCGCGGCUUAUCAGCUUGUUGGUGGGGUAGUGGCUUACCAAGGCUGUGACGGGUAGCCGGCCUGAGAGGGUGACCGGCCACAUUGGGACUGAGAUACGGCCCAGACUCCUACGGGAGGCAGCAGUGGGGAAUAUUGCACAAUGGGCGGAAGCCUGAUGCAGCAACGCCGCGUGCGGGAUGACGGCCUUCGGGUUGUAAACCGCUUUCGCCUGUGACGAAGCGUGAGUGACGGUAAUGGGUAAAGAAGCACCGGCUAACUACGUG